rnacentral:rRNA from 1 species
ACAUACGACCACACCCACUGGAAAACUCGGGAUCCCGUCCGCUCUCCCAUAGAUAAGCCAGUGAGGGCCGGAUUAGUAGUUGGGUCGCUGACGACCAGCGAAUACCUGGUGUUGUAUGUU